CCCAAUCGUACUGCACUUGCUUUGAGAUCUCAUAGAACAGAGAAAGAAUGUCUGAAGAAGUGAACGAUGCAUGGAGGAAGAAACCAUUUGAAGAAGGAAAGAAGAGGACCAGAGGAGAUAUAUCUGAUACUUUACUAAAGAAUGCUGUGUCAGUGUAGGUCUCCUUGUACUGCUUCUGACCACCACCAUCACCUCUGCCGUUGUGACUCAAAAUGAAGGUUCUAUCAUGGUUCUGGAGAGAGUCAACGUGACCACCAGCCCCAUCAACACUCUGGGCCAGUGGCUGGAUGCAGUGCUCCAGUCAAAGAAAGGCAUAAAGCUGGACUUCAAAAGCAUUCAGGCGGCGACUCCCUCCCUAGACUUCCUGAGCAUGGCAAACCAGACUAAAGGGAUGAAUCGACCAGUGUGGCUGAAUACUGACAUCCUCCCUGGGUCCAACGUCGCAGCCUUCUGACCUGUCAUUAACGGAUAGCAGAGAUCGGCUGAAAAGGUUCUACCCUGGAGACCUGAUUUGACUAUUUUCAGCCAAAAUAUUGAGAUUGUUCCACUGGAUGUAGUGGCAGUCACAGACUGAGCCUCACUACUUUCCCUGCUGUCAGGUAGACCUGGAGGGAUUAUGAUGGGGUGCAACCUAAAUGCCACCCAUUGACAAUUGCAACGAUGGGUUAUAUACAGAUGGGGAGGGGGGGGGUUCAUCACAAUUUGAGUCCAGCGACAUUCAUACUUUCUCAAAUUGACGAUUGAAUACAGAGGUCAAAUCUCCUGAUUGCUUCAUAACCUUACACAGUGCCAGUGGGAUGCUCAUCAUUCCAGUGGGAUCUGGACAGCUCCCGUCCAGAGUUCCCUCUCCAGGACUGCCUGGACCUGGUUUUUUCUUCCCCGAAGCCCUGGGGUACCUACCUGAAGAUCCAGUCUUGAGCUAGCUGGAGCCCUCUCUCCACUUCCUCAGCUCAGCCUCCCACUGGGACCUCCUGUAUGGCCCCAUCUCAGUCAACAUGGCCCUGUUCCAUGGUGCCUCCCAGACCCAGGGCUACAUCUCCGGGAGGGGAGUUCCUCCACAGUCAACCAGGUCUUCUAUAUCACACUGGCCCCUAGCUGGCCCCUUGAAGCCCUGGGGGAGGGGUAUACCAGGGCCAUGGUGGAAGACAUGGAGGAGGUACUGAGGGGGCCCUGGCAAGGAGUGUCACUGCAGGUGAGGCCCGAGCCACUAGGUAGGUCUGUGAAGGGGCAGAGGGGGCUUCAGGAGGGGCAGCCACGAUAAUCACUGACAGUGGAGCACGGCAUAGAAAGUGGGAUCAGUGAGGAGGCUUCAGGAGGGGCAGCCACGAUACUCACUGACAGUGGAGCACGGCAUAGAAAGUGGGAACAGUGAGAAGGCUUCAGGAGGGGCUGCCACGAUACUCACUGACAGUGGAGCACGGCAUAGAAAGUGGAAUCAGGAGGCGACAGGCGAUCAUGGCCAACCUCUGAGAGUGAAGACAGAAGCUUGUUUUGUAUAUCUCUGAGAACUACCCCACUGGGUAAAAACUGGUUGAAUCAACAUUGUUUCCUCAUUAUUUCAACCCCCCAAAAAAAUCAAUGUGAUGCCUGAAAAAGGAUAGGAUUUGAAAAUGUUUUAAUCAACACAAGUGCAUUCUUUUUUUCACCUAAAUCCAAUGACAUGACCUUUUUUGUUGAUUUCACGUUGAAUUCAUGUUAGUUGACAACUCAACCAAAUGUAAAUCAAAACUAGACGUUGAAUUGACUUCUGUGCCCAGUGGGACAGGUCUAAGAUGUGAAGACAUGAUCACCUUAAAUGGCAGUUUGCUACAUUUAUUUGUUUUGUUGGAUUUGAAGUUAUAAAAAAUAAAAUCAUGAUUGUACAAUUAUUAGCAAUAAUUGUCUACUCUUUUGUAAUUUCUAUUCAAUAUAUCCCCCUUUUUUAAUCGCCUUAGUUUAAGAUGAGAUAUUGUUAUCUAAGAUACAAUAUUGUAUGUGUAAGGUGAAACAUUUAAUAGCCUCGUCAUAAACAAAUGAAUAAAACAUACCCGACAUAUCAAACGCAAUUCUGACCCUUUAUUGUCAAAUAAAGUGCCCUUCUCAGAAGAAAAAAAGACGUCUGGUUAGUAUUCUUUCUCUGGAAAAGUCCAAACACUUUUAAAUUUAUUUCAAACAUCAUAUUUUUCACAAGUUAUGAUUGGGAACAUUGUUCAAAAAGAAAAACAUAUAGUUUUCCACACUAAUAAUCCUUGCUGUCAACAUGGCUCAGCUUAGUGUGUGAAGAGGCUCUGGGCAGGCUUGAGCCAGGUCACAGGGGGUUGGGUGUCAAUCUAAUGAACACAGGUGGGGAGUAUAGGGAGACUAAGUGCUUUAAGGGACAAUCAUAAUUAAUCACAGCCACAAAAAACGUCCCAGAUCCCAGAUCUGUGUUGCUAACUCCUACAUUCAUGGCCAUUGUCAAUGACCAUAGGAGUUGGCAAGACUGCACAAACAAAUCUGGGAAUUAGGCUCCUUUCAUAAACCAUUCUAAUAAAAUAAACAGUUGAAGAUAAUCGGAUCCUCUAAUGGCAGUGUGUUCAAUCGAUCAGUACAAUAGUCAUCAAGGGUGAG